AUAAUACUCCCUCCGGCCAGAAUUAUUUGUCAUAGAAAUGGAUAAAAGCUGAUGUAUCUAAAACUAAAAUAAGUCUAGAUACAUACAUUUCUCCGACAAGUAUUUCCGGAUGAAGGGAGUAGUUC
rfam:Triticum aestivum genome assembly, contig: Triticum_aestivum_CS42_TGACv1_scaffold_272019_3DS